UACGGGGGGGGCAAGCGUUGUUCGGAAUUACUGGGCGUAAAGGGCUCGUAGGUGGCCAACUAAGUCAGACGUGAAAUCCCUCGGCUUAACCGGGGAACUGCGUCUGAUACUGGAUGGCUUGAGUUCGGGAGAGGGAUGCGGAAUUCCAGGUGUAGCGGUGAAAUGCGCAGAUAUCAGGAAGAACACCCGUGGCUAAGGCGGCUCUCUAGUACGUGACUGACGCUGAGACGCGAAAGCGUGGGGAGCGAACAGG
rnacentral:rRNA from 1 species